rnacentral:misc_RNA from 1 species
GCGGUCUAAUCCAGCACGAAUGGCGCCCAAAAUCCUUGUUCACCAUUUCAGGAGAAGUCGAUACACGGGCUAUCGAAAAGAGUGCAAAGAUCGGACUGGCCUUGGCUCUCAAGCCUUAGGAAAUCUGUUCCUCCUUGGAGAUUAUUGUGGAGGGUAAUAAGCUUUUACAUAGCGUAGACACUUUCUUUUUCACAUUUUCAAUUUUUCCCUGCUCCAACUGGAACAUUGGAGGUCUUGGGUUGUGAAAAUUGACAUCAACAAUCAGUUUUCUUUUGCCGAUGAUGUGAACUUUGCG